AAAGUUCAAAAUGAGCGUGAACAAGGUCAAAAGGUUAUCUCAGGUCAGCUCAAACCUCACCGCCAUGGACCACCGCGUCAAAAAUCGCCUCCGACGCGGUGGCCACCAAAAAUACCAAUUGAAUACACCAUUGAAACCGUUUCAAUCUCCUCUUCACAAAUAUCUCUCCAAUUUCUCUAUAUUCUUUCUCUAGCUCAAAAAAUGAUACAAAGUCCUCAAUAACCCUAGCCUCUUAAUCUUAAAUUAAACACUGCUCUCAAAGAAUCAAAGCCCAGGGGUUUGGGACUCUGAUUCCUCGUGCCCUAAAUCAUAUUCCGGUAUCAAGUUCAGUGUGAAAUGAGGAAGAAGAGCUCACCUGUGAAAUUCUUCGGCGAUGGUUGUGACGACGACAAUGAAAGGAGAUCAGGUUGUACAGAUUCAAUGGCUAAGCUAGUUUAAAGGAGGAUGGUGCUGAUGUCUGCAGAAGUAACCAUUUGGCUUGGUCAAAACCAUGGGCCAUGUAGUUAGGAUCAAGGGCUGCAAGGAUCUUCAAGUUAUGGCUAUCCCAAGCUCAACCAUGUUCAUGGCAUGGUGACUACAAAAUGGAAAAUCAAGUCCACAUGGCUAAAUCAAGAUCAAAAUGGACAUGGAGGGUGAAAUUAGAGCUUAGGAUUUGGACAUUUAUUGGUUUAGGAUAAAAAAGAAUUCGGGUUGACUUUGGUCAAAGUUGACCAAAAAGUCAUCUAUUAACCAAAGUCAACAAUUAGUCAACAUGUAAUUUUUUGGAUUUUUUGUGUAUGUAAUGGACUUUUAUGAAUAAAAUUGGCUAUUUGAAUGAAAAAUUAAUGGUUUUAGUGUA